GCCAGCGAUACCCGCCCUCGGGAAGCUGGGGCAGGGAGACCCAGCGUCCCAGGCCAAUCUGGGCUACCCGCUCUCGGUAACCCAAAGUUAGUAACUCUAAAGCUACUCCUGGAAAUUGAGCGUAAUGUCAGUGAGGUUUCACAGCAAAAGAGACUGAGUAAUUUUAAGGCACGCAGACCGGGACCCACGACGGGAAGGAGGGGCGGAGACUCAGGGAACAGCCCGCGGCGGAGACGGGCGGGCGGAGGGCAGUGGCCGGAAGGCAGAGGCAAACUCAUCUCGGAGAGUUUCUGAACUUGUGUGGAAAUCAGGAUGUGUGGGAAUUGAAUUUACUCAAGUGCCAACUUACCUUAAACUCCUAAUCCUCCAGCACACCCCGCAACUGCUGCGAUUAUAGGUCUGCACCAUUAUACCCGGUCUUUUAGGGCCUCUUAAAAAGAGGGAGCAAAUGAGAGCGAUGGCCCCGUGGGUGAAGUUGUUUGCCACUGUAUCAACAAUGCUAGCCUGACAACCUGAGUUGUGGAAAGACAAAAUGAAGGCCACAGAGAUGUCCUCUGACUUCCACACUGGUGCAGAUGGCAAAUCCACCCACCUACGUGUCACACACACAUAACAACAACAAUAAUAAUAAUAGGCAUAUCCACCCACAUACAUAUCACAAUAAUAAUAAAUAAAUUUUAAUUUUAAGAGAGUUGGAGAUG
rnacentral:lncRNA from 1 species